UACGGGGGGGGACUAACGUUAUUCAUCAUAACUGGGCGUAAAGGGUACGUUAGGUGGCUUUUUAAGUCUUUAUUAAAGAAUCUAAGCUUAACUUAGAAAUUGGUUUUGAUACUGAAAAGCUCAGAGGUCGUUAGAGGUUAGUUAUAUUCAUUGGAGUAAAAGUAAAAUCUUCAGAUACCAAGAGGAUAACCGCGCGGUCAACACGACUUUCCAAAUCGAUGCUGACGCUAAAGUGACGAAGGCAUGGGCAGUCGAACGG
rnacentral:rRNA from 1 species